GGGAGUUUAGCUCAGCUGGGAGAGCAUCUGCCUUACAAGCAGAGGGUCACAGG
rnacentral:tRNA from 1 species